UUGAAAAUGAUAAAUAAUUUUUUCCACUUGUUCGUAAGAAAAAAAAACCAAAAAGUGUUGAAUUACUUUAAAAACAUAUAUCGACGAACCACAUAAACCAGGUAAAAUAAUCACUUGUACCAAAGCCACAAUACCAAAGAUUUCACGUGAAGAAAAGAGCGAUCAACAGCCUAAUCCCGGUAGUAAUCUCGAAACUACGUAACCGACACGAAAAUAGCCAAGUGCAUCGAAAGCAUGGGCAUCAUCUCCAGCGGUUACCCUCGGUUCCCCACGCGCCCGAUAGGGACGGACCAAUAGGCAAUAUUCGUAGGUGCAAGGGCCCAUCAACGUCAACCUGAGUGGGUCACGGCCCAUACAAAGCGUCCCGACGAGGCUUCCCCCACCCGCGCUGCCUCUGCCUUCGCAUUCACAUUUAAACCUGGAGCGACCGUAGUGAAAUCAUUCCACAACCAUCGCUCGUGAUACGCGCUUCAGUAUUACAAGUGUUCCUCUUUUCCUAGUUCCAUUCGUUACAUUCAUUCCAAACACGUUUCGAAGAUGUCAGGCUUAGACCCCACCGAAACCUACUAAGUCAUUGACUAGUGUCAAUACACCUGCGAAGUUCAAAACUUUUUUUACGAAUUUACUUCGAUCCACGAAAACUGUCACUAUGGACGGCGGAAAAUUAGAUCCCACCAACCAAUACUAACUGGCGACCUUCGACCAGCCCACGUGUGUGCACUGUUUGUUUACAUUGACUCUCAGCAACCCAACGAUGGCACCCUGCAAACCUGAAGCUGAUCCUACCGGGCUUUACUAAUGUGGCACCUUAAGAUGGGAGAUGGCGGUCGCCCUGAGACUUCCAGCUGUCGUCGAAAAAGAUUACUUUAAAAUGGUAUUCCCUGCUGAACACAUCACUGCCACAUCGAGUUACCCCGUUCAUCUGGUUAUACACACAAGACUGAAGCUUGUUGAUUUUAUAUGAUGUAUUUUGUUAUUUUAAAUUAUAUAUGUAGUUUAAGUUCCUCCAUGAGAUUAACAUUCAGCAAUAAUGUUCUUCUAAAUAAUGUAUAUAAAACUCUCCCUAUGUAUAAUAUCCUGGUAAAAUUUACUUAUCCUAAAUAUUAAAUGAUUUUUAUUACUUUUUA